GUGGCAAUAAAAUAUCAGAAGUUACAAUGAUAGAAACAACUUUACUAAAUUAAAUACAAGAGUUCUACGGAAACUGCAGAUUCCUAUGAUGCAGUGUGAUUGUGACAUGCUUAGAAAUACAGUGGCCACAUGGGGGUGAUAGACAGCAAUUUAUUUUAGUUGAAUACCUGCAAAAUGGCAUAAACAAAUUUCUAAACAUUCAAAGUCAUUAAUCACAGUUUUAAACCAGUCAUAAGGAAACAUUAAACACAACCUAGAAUAUUUUUUAAAAGCUAAAGAAUGUUUUGACUAGUUGUGAUAAGUCUGUUUUAGGGUAGUGUAUUUAUUGAUGUUUUCCAUGAACAGCAAGUGAAUUGUAACAGUGCACUGAAGAAAUCACAGAACAUUUCUACAUAUGACAUAGUCAGUUAUAACACUCAUUCUAGGUCAAACAGACUGGUCCAAUCUAAAUCCAGGAUUUUUUUUUUUUUUUUUUUUUGUCUUUAAAAAUACACUAUAAAUACUUUUAAUGUAAUACUUUUACAACGUCUUUUCCAGCUUAAGUUACAUAAAUGGUCUCCAAAUAUUCCAGUCAAGAUGGUAAAAUUCCCUUGAUGUUUAAUAUUCAGUUUUACAGGUCAAGCUUAUCUUCACUGGCAACCCUGAGAUGCUGAGGUGACCUGCUCUCUGCACAACCUUGGGAAUAAACGUCUGUAUGCCUGAUGUUCAAAAUGUAGUAAAUGUACACCUGUCCCUCAUGUAAAUCUGGCAUCAACCAGGAACAUGACCAGAAACAUUCAUAAGACUAUAGUCAAUACAGCAAUGACAAGGUUGGUCAUUUUACAUCAGUUAUUAUUGACCAUAUCUUCUGAUGGCCCAGAAGUGGCAAGAGUCAUCAGUUUUUCAAUACACAUCUCUUGAUUUCGCAAAGCUUAUAUUAUGUAAAGAUGUUUGCACAAGAAAUUGUGUUGAUAUGGCUGCUGCUGCUCGUAUGUCAAAUGUGUGCUUGACACUUUAGCAGUAACUCUCAGUCAUCAAUAAGUGAAAGACAACCGAUGUAUAAGAAAUAUCCCACAGGAGGUUCUGCUACUCUAAGGCUCUUAAAGUCAUGCUUAAAUUGUUACAUUUAAAGGGAUGGUUAAACUAAAAAUGAAAACUAAAAAUAGCACACGCACAAAAAAAAAAGAAGAGUAAUAGAUGAUAUUUUGAAGUAAGUUGGUAACCAAACAGUCUUGGUAUCCAUUGACUUUCACUGUAUGGACAUAUAUAUAUUAUUGUUAAACGAUGACAGAAUUUUAAUUUUUGGGUGAACUAUCCCUUUCAGUAGUAUGCUUUAUAUGCUACAGCAAAUCAAAAUGAAUUACAUUUAGCAUGUGCCUCUUCUGAUCUCUGACAAUCUGAACGCUAACUAGCAUUACAGAUACACAUGCAUCAUAUUACCAGACAUACACAGAUGAGAGCAGAAUAAUUAGCACAGUAUUAGAAUAAUACUCUAAUGACUAUGGCAACAGGUAAGCACUUUCAGCACUAGGCUACACAUGAAGGCUUCAGAUGACAAACAUGCUUUCUCAAUUGCUUCAGUAAUCACUGGCAUCUAACAUUAAAGGGAUACUCCACCCCAAAAUGAAAAUUUUGUCAUUAAUCACUUACCCCCAUGUCGUUCCAAACCCAUAAAAGCUUUGUUCGUCUUCGAAACACAAUUUAAGAUAUUUUGGAUGAAAACCGGGAGGCC
ensembl:lncRNA